rnacentral:lncRNA from 1 species
UGAUGCAAAGACAGUUGAUGUGAACAAUGAGUCUCCCUUACAGGAGAGAUUACAUUGAGUACUGUUAUUACAUUGAUUACGGAGGAUCGGAAAGAAUUUCUGUCCUGCCUCAUUUCUACAGACACUUGCUUCGGAUGACCCUUCAUUAACAGCCUAUGUGGAAUGCAAGCUCACAGCAAGCUCAAUGACAGGAACCCAUCCUGACACACAAGCCAAGGCUAAUGCUUUUCAUUGCACACCCCCUUCUUAUGUUAUGGGGGUUCCCAUGUGAGCUCCUGAAGGUAAUCACUGGUAAGUUUGCCACUGCAUCUUACAGCUACAUGCAUUAAAAUGGCAUUUAAUGACUUCUUUAGAAAACCUGCUGUAUUUGAAAGAAGCUCAAGGUGGACUUAAAGAUGCUUAAAGAGGUCACAAAAGAGGGAAUUAGUAGCAUAACUGUGUUGUUCAAGCAGGUUUUCAACUCUGUAGCAGAGUGAACUGUGCUGAACAUGCCAGUGUAGGUUGCUUGCUUUGGGGCUGUAACCACAGACAAGAAGAUGACUCUCUGAGGGCAUUACCAAAAUUUUCCUUGAAACACACUCUGGUCUUUUCAUGCAAAGUUUCAUCCAUUAGCUCAGCUUGUAAACUGUUAAGCUCCAUGGUUUGCUAAUCUUUUCCCUUCCUUAGCUUUUUGUUUCUUCAAAGUAGUGGUUACAGAGUGGAACCUGCAAAGUGCUGAGUGCUGUAUUCCACAUCAAGCAAACCUCUCAAUGUUAAUCAUGCUCUGAAAAAUGCUGCGAGAUUAGAGCUAAAUCUCUGCACAACCCCUGCAUUUCUCCAGCUGGGUGCCUUUUUCAUUCCUGUGAAAGUACAGCUAUGCAGUUAAGACACUGAGCUUGGGCUGGGGGGAUGCUAAGUCCAGUUUAAUCUGCUACAGACUCCUUUAAUCGUAUCUUAUUUUACAAAACGGAGAUGAUAAAUAUUUUGUCCUUUUUAUUCUAAACUCUAGGUAUGGUAUUUAUUUCUUAGCCUUAUGAGAUCAUUAAUACCUUAUUUUCAGAUCUUACACAGUGCU